AGCAAUGCACUCAGACUCCUCUCUGCUGUGGAGAGCUUUUUUUUUUUUUUUUCAUAUUAAACUUUCACUCCAACUUUAUCUUUGUGUUUACAAUUCUUAAUUUUUUUGUCUUGGAUAAAGAACAAAAAACCUGGAGUACUUCUUCAGACAACAAGAAACUUCCAAAUUAAGGUGCAUUGGCAAGAAUGCAACAUAUUUUGAUCCAUUGGCUUGGAAGGAGGGAAUUCAUCAGAAGGAGGACCUAAGCCAACAUGUGGGAUUGGAAGAAGGUCCUAGGAAAAUUCAAGAUUUCUGGCUGGGACUAACCCUCAGUGUUAUCUGAAGGUCCUCAGUGUUAUCUGAAGACUACUCCAAUCCUUGACAGCCCACCAGUGUGUCAGCACAAGGACCUUCCCUCUUACAUUUUCCUUCUUUUCUCCCAUGGCUAUUAUGUCACCUAUCUCUUCAUUGUAUACAAUGUUGCAGGUGUUUUUUCAGCCUAGAGAUAUAAUCUUGCUUGGUAGAGUAAGUUGGUGUCUUUUUUUGUAACCAGGAAUGUAACUUCAAGAAACUGUGUUUUUGUGAUUUCCUCGAGACAGAGGAGUUCAAGAUUUCUGUCUAAGUAUUCACUUAGUAAGGUCUCUUCUACCCCUCAAUAAUAGACAUUCAUGACACUAUAUGGUCAAAUAUUUCACCCCAAGUGAAUAUCCUCUUUUCUCUCCAUUUGGAUUGUUUCUUCCCUCUACAUUUGGGUUGGUUUUUCCCUCCCCAUUUGGGUUGGUUUUUCCCUCCAUGUAAAAUCCCAGCAUUGCCCAAUAAAUUUAAACAAUUCUUUAUGAAACAAG
rnacentral:lncRNA from 1 species